UACAGAGGUCCCAAGCGUUGUUCGGAUUCACUGGGCGUAAAGGGUGCGUAGGUGGCGAAGUAAGUCGGAUGUGAAAUCUCCGAGCUCAACUCGGAAAUGGCAUUGGAAACUACUUUGCUCGAGGGUCGGAGGGGGGACUGGAAUUCUCGGUGUAGCAGUGAAAUGCGUAGAGAUCGUAAGGAAGACCAGUGGCGGAGGCGGGUCUCUGGACAGUUCCUGACACUGAGGCACGAAGGCCAGGGGAGCAAACGGG
rnacentral:rRNA from 1 species